rnacentral:rRNA from 1 species
UUUUUAAUUGAGAUCUUGUAUGAAUGAUUGAACAAAAGAAAAACUGUCUUUAUAUUAAAGUUUGAAUUUAACUUUUAAGUGAAAAGGCUUAAAUAUUCUAAAGGGACGAUAAGACCCUAUAAAACUUUACAUUAAUAAUUAGCAUAUUAUUUAAUUUUUAUUAUAAUAAUUAAAUUUAAUUUUUUUGUUUUGUUGGGGCGACAAAACUAUAAUUUAUUUUAACUGUUUAGAAGUAAGGCAGAAAUUUUAUGAGCAAUUUUACAGAUCCUUUAUAAAGAUUAAAAGAUUAAGUUACUUUAGGGAUAACAGCGUUAUUUUUUUUGAGAGUUCAUAUCGAAAAAAGAGAUUGCGACCUCGAUGUUGAAUUAAAAUUUCUUUAUAAUGCAGGUGUUAUACAAGAAGGUCUGUUCGACCUUUAAUUUUUUA